rnacentral:misc_RNA from 1 species
GAUGAAGAACGUAGCGAAAUGCGAUAAGUAAUGUGAAUUGCAGAAUUCAGUGAAUCAUCGAAUCUUUGAACGCACCUUGCGCUCCUUGGUAUUCCGAGGAGCAUGCCUGUUUGAGUGUCAUUAAUAUAUCAACCUUCUCUUUUUUGAGUUGUUUGGAUGUGGGGGAUUGCUGGCCUCUUAAAUGAUUCAGCUCCCCUGAAAUGCAUUAGCAGAACAACCUGUUCAUUAGCGUGAUAAUUAUCUAUGCUAUUGAAUGUGAGGGCAGUUCAGCUUUCUAACCGUCCUUGGACAAUUCAUCAUUAAUGUGACCUCAAAUCAGGUAGGACUACCCGCUGAACUUAAGCAUAUCAAUAAGCGGAGGA